rnacentral:rRNA from 1 species
GACGGAAGGUGCAAGCGUUGCUCGGAAUCACUGGGCGUAAAGGGUGCGUAGGCGGCCGUGCAAGUCUGGCGUGAAAGCCCCGGGCUCAGCCCGGGAAGUGCGCUCGAAACUGCGCGGCUCGAGUGCCGGAGGGGAGAGUGGAAUUCCUGGUGUAGCGGUGAAAUGCGUAGAUAUCAGGAGGAACACCGGUGGCGAAGGCGCACAUCUGGCCCGAUACUGACGCUGAGGCGCGAAAGCUAGGGGAGCAAACGGG